rnacentral:rRNA from 1 species
AUUGAACGCUGGCGGCAUGCUUUACACAUGCAAGUCGAACGGGCUUAGGGGCUUGCUCCUAAGUUAGUGGCGAACGGGCGAGUAAUGCAUCGGAACGUACCGUGUAGUGGGGGAUAACCCGGCGAAAGUCGGAUUAAUACCGCAUACGAUCCAAGGAUGAAAGCAGGGGAUCGCAAGACCUUGCGCUAUACGAGCGGCCGAUGUCGGAUUAGCUAGUUGGUAGGGUAAAGGCCUACCAAGGCAACGAUCCGUAGCGGGUCCGAGAGGAUGAUCCGCCACACUGGGACUGAGACACGGCCCAGACUCCUACGGGAGGCAGCAGUGGGGAAUUUUGGACAAUGGGCGAAAGCCUGAUCCAGCCAUGCCGCGUGAGUGAAGAAGGCCUUCGGGUUGUAAAGCUCUUUUGUCCGGGAGCAAAUCCUGUUCACUAAUACUGAGCGGGGCUGAGAGUACCGUAAGAAUAAGCACCGGCUAACUACGUGCCAGCCGCCGCCGUAACAC